rnacentral:lncRNA from 1 species
GAGAUGGCAGGAUGCAGCUCAACCAAUGACUAUUGCUCGCUCCUCUUAGUUAAUUACAUUGCAUUGCGACAAAUUAAAUAGUCUAGAUAGGUUUGAAUAAGUGACAACAAGACUUGAAUUGACAUAAACCGCAAUAGAGAAGAUGGUUUGCAUGACAAUAUGGGCAUGCUUCCUCCAUCAAGAAGUCUCUUUCAUUGACUAUAAGUAUUUCCAGCA